AUUGAACGCUGGCGGCGUGCUUUACACAUGCAAGUCGAAUGGCAGCGCGGGGCAACCUGGCGGCGAGUGGCGAACGGGUGAGUAAUACAUCGGAACGUACCCAGAAGUGGGGGAUAACGUAGCGAAAGUUACGCUAAUACCGCAUACGUUCUACGGAAGAAAGUGGGGGACCUUCGGGCCUCAUGCUUUUGGAGCGGCCGAUGUCUGAUUAGCUAGUUGGUGAGGUAAAGGCUCACCAAGGCGACGAUCAGUAGCUGGUCUGAGAGGACGACCAGCCACACUGGGACUGAGACACGGCCCAGACUCCUACGGGAGGCAGCAGUGGGGAAUUUUGGACAAUGGGCGCAAGCCUGAUCCGGCAAUGCCGCGUGAGUGAAGAAGGCCUUCGGGUUGUAAAGCUCUUUUGUCAGGGAAGAAACGGCUGAGGAUAAUACCUUCGGCUAAUGACGGUACCUGAAGAAUAAGCACCGGCUAACUACGUGCCAGCCGCCGCAGUAA
rnacentral:rRNA from 1 species